CCCCUGGGGAGCAGUUGGCUGUGGGGGGAUCCCUCGUCCAGCCAGCAGUUGCUCCCAGUUCAGGAGGUGCUCCUGUACCCUGGCCACAGCCCAAUCCUGCCACUGCUGACAUCUGGGGAGACUUUACCAAAUCUACAGGAUCAACUUCCAGCCAGACCCAGCCAGGCACAGGCUGGGUCCAGUUCUGACCUGAGCACGGUUUUUCCUCAUGUGACUUCUGGGAAGGCGCUCCCUCAUCUGGGCCAAAGGAAGGAGGACGAAGCCCUCCUCAGCUGGCCUGUGUUUGGGGCAUGAAUCUCUCCUCUCCUCCUUGUCUGGCUCUGUUGACAAACCGGGCAUGUUUGGCAGUAAAUUGGCACCGUGUCACACUGUUUCCUGGGAUUCAAGUAUGCAACCAGAACACAGGAGAAGAAAAGCUCCAGGAUCCCUGUCCCCAUCUGUCCUCUUGAUGUGAGAGAGACUCUGAGACUUCUUCCAUCGCAAUGACCUGUAUUAAACACAAGCCCCCCAAGCAAAAGAAGAGGUUGAGUUUGCUGCCAGGAUUCAGAUCAGCCCUUCCCAGGGUCUGCAGGUGUCACAUGAUCACAGUUCAGCGGGAGGCUUUCCGUACCCACACUGGCUGUAGCCACUUCAGUCCAUCUGCCCUCCAGAGGAGGGGUUUCUUCCUGAUUUUUAGCAGGUUUAGAGGCUGCAGCUUGAGCUACAAUCAGGAGGGAAAUUGGAAGGAUUAGCAGCUUUUAAAAAUGUUUAAAUAUUUUGCUUUGCUAAUGUGCUGAUCCGCACUAACUCAUCUUUGCAAAAGGAACUGCUCCCUCGGCGUGCCCCAGCUGGGGCCUCUGAAGGGAUUCCUCACUGUGGGCAGCUGCCCUGAGCUUCAGGCAGCAGUGUUUAUCUCUGGCCAGUUGUCUGGUUUCCAUGUAUUCUAGGCCAGGUAGGCAACACAGAGCCAAGGCGGGUGCUGGAAGCCAGACGGAACAGUGUUGGGGCAGGAAGGUGGAUGCUGUUGUCAUGGAGCUGUGGGAGUUGGCACUCUGUCUGCUGGUGGCCCUCUCGGCUCACAUGUUCACAGUGCAGCUCCUGGCAGACUUGGGUUUUCUCUUUGGUGGUUUCUAAAGUGCCUUAUCUGCAAACAACUUCUUUUCUCCUUCAGGAACUGUGAAUGGCUAGAAGAAGGAGCUCAGUAAACUAGAAGUCCAGGGUUGCUUGGUUUACUGGUUUAUAAGAAAUCUGAAAGCACCUCUGACAUUCCUUUUAUUAACUCACCUCUCAGUUGAAAGAUUUCUUCUUUGAAAGGUCAAGACCGUGAACUGAAAAAAGUGUUGGCCUUUUUGCGGGACCAGAUUUUUAAGAUAAAAUAAAUAUUUUUACUUCUG
rnacentral:lncRNA from 1 species